rnacentral:misc_RNA from 1 species
GUGGCGCAUUUCAGUAGGGCCCCACACUCGGCGUACUCUGUCGCGCACACCCGUCCGCCGCGUACCUACACUGUCACUGUACGCUGCUCCCGCGAACUCGUGUUUAUCGUCGCACUGACCACCCUCAACGACCGCCGCCACACAUCUCGCUGAAAAUAAUUUCGUCGUUUUUUAUUUAAUUUUCCGUCGUCGCAGUUAUUGCCUUCCCACCACCAUUGUUGUCGUUUGUUUCAACUCGUUCACUGCACUUGUGUCGUAUUAUAUUGUAAUGAUAUCAUAACAAUAAAAAAAAUAUCACGUACGAAUAUAACAAUAUAAUAAUAUUAUAUAAUAGUGUCUCGCCCGAAACCGUACGGCUACGCCGCCGUCAACAGCCCCGGAUCGGUCCUCAGAUAUGUGGCCGAAAUUUGCAUUUCUCGGACUCAUGAUUAUCCGGUUAAUGGUAUCUGCGAAUCCGGAUGCAAAGAGACUGUACGACGAUCUCUUGUCCAGUUACAACAAGCUCGUGAGACCAGUGGUGAACACCAGUGAUGUUCUACGUGUGUCUAUAAAACUGAAACUGUCGCAGCUCAUCGAUGUGAACUUGAAAAAUCAGAUUAUGACCACCAAUUUGUGGGUAGAGCAGGCGUGGAAUGAUUACAAAUUGCAAUGGGACCCGAAGGAGUAUGGUGGCGUGCAAAUGCUCCACGUGCCUUCCGAUCACAUUUGGCGGCCGGAUAUCGUGCUCUACAACAACGCCGACGGCAAUUUCGACGUGACGCUGGCCACCAAGGCGACCAUAUACCACGUAGGGCUGGUAGAAUGGAAACCGCCGGCCAUAUUCAAAUCGUCGUGCGAGAUCGACGUGGAAUUUUUCCCGUUCGACGAGCAGACGUGCGUGUUGAAAUUCGGUAGCUGGACUUACGACGGAUUCAAGGUAGACUUGAGACACAUGGACGAAAAGGUCGGUUCGAACAUCGUCGACGUCGGAGUGGAUCUUUCAGAAUUUUACAUGUCGGUCGAAUGGGAUAUACUGGAAGUACCGGCGGUCAGAAACGAAAAGAUCUACCCAUGUUGUGACGAACCGUAUUUGGACAUAACGUUCAACAUCACCAUGAGAAGGAAAACGCUUUUCUACACGGUAAACAUCAUCAUUCCGUGCAUGGGCAUCUCAUUCCUCACAGUUUUGACGUUCUACUUGCCAUCGGACAGCGGUGAAAAGGUGACGUUGUCUAUAUCAAUUUUGAUUAGUCUCCACGUUUUUUUCUUGCUGGUUGUCGAAAUUAUACCUCCGACGUCAUUAGUAGUCCCAUUACUGGGAAAAUAUUUGAUAUUUGCUAUGAUACUGGUUUCAAUAAGCAUAUGUGUUACAGUAGUCGUAUUGAACGUUCAUUUCCGAUCACCUCAGACGCACAAAAUGGCACCUUGGGUAAAAAGAGUGUUCAUCCAUAUACUGCCAAGACUUUUAGUCAUGCGAAGACCUCAGUACCAGUUUGAACCAAACAAAUUCAACGCCGGUUCGAUAAUGCUGAAGGGCAGAGACAUACAUCCGUGUUUCUUCCAGGCUGGCUGCGGCUACGACAGCACGGAACCCGGAAAAGAUAAAAGUCGUCGACAAACAGACGACAGCAGCGUGUCGAAAGGCACCAGAGAAACGUCUAAAGAAGACUUAUCUAGUGACGGCGAAGGGGGAAGCUGUCAGAUACACGGAGUGGCGCAGAGUCUGAUUUCCGACGAGAUAUCAGUCACCGAAAUGACUACUGACUGCAGCAAGAGCUCGAUCCUGCUCAGGAGCCCCGGAUUUCUGCAUUCGUCCUGUCCUCCGGCCAUGCACAAGUCGUGUUUCUGCAUCCGAUUCAUAGCGGAACACACGAAAAUAACGGACGAUGCGACCAAAGUAAAAGAAGAUUGGAAGUACGUCGCAAUGGUCUUGGACAGACUAUUUUUGUGGAUAUUCACACUGGCCGUGUUCGCGGGCACGGCGGGUAUUAUCCUACAAGCACCCACGCUGUACGACGACCGGAUACCGAUCGAUAAAAAAUUCAGCGAAUACCAAACCUCAUAAAGAAAACGAGUUUUUUAUGAAUGAAAAGAAAAAUCCGAUUGGAGGACGCCUUUUACUCGGAAAGAUAUACAUCGUACAGUCUGACGCAACGCGAGGGCACCUAAAAACAACGAAAAAAUUCAAAUUCCAACGCCGAUGACGUCAUUUUUGUAGUUGCAGUUUCAGUUGCAGCGGUUGUAUAUGAAUAAAAUAUUAUGAUGAUAAUAAUAAUAAUAAUAAUAAUAAUAAUAAUAAGUUAGCAAAAAAAAAAAAAUGUAAAAAAAAAAUUAUAAUUAUGUUACGUUUUGUAUACGUUUAAAUUUUGUUGUAUAUUAAGUUUUGUUAUAAUACUGAUAACGAUGAUUUCAAUGAUGCCCAGUAACAGAGUAAUUUAUUACGCGAUAAUAAUAAUGAUAAUUCACAGACACUGCAGUACGCGAUGUGCCCAAUAUAAAAAAUAUUAUAUUAUUAAUUAUUAUUAUAAUGAUAAAAUGUAUGAUUAUUAUUUAUUAUUAUUAAUUUAUUGUUUUG